ACGGGAGGCAGCAGUAGGGAAUCUUGCGCAAUGGGCGAAAGCCUGACGCAGCGACGCCGCGUGCGGGACGAAGGCCCUCGGGUUGUAAACCGCUUUCAGCAGGGACGAAGCGAAAGUGACGGUACCUGCAGAAGAAGGUCCGGCCAACUACGUGCCAGCAGCCGCGGUAAUACGUAGGGACCGAGCGUUGUCCGGAUUCAUUGGGCGUAAAGAGCUCGUAGGCGGCCACUCAAGUCGAAUGUGAAACCUCGAGGCUCAACCUCGAGCCUGCAUUCGAUACUGGGCGGCUAGAGUCUGGUAGGGGGAUCUGGAAUUCCUGGUGUAGCGGUGGAAUGCGCAGAUAUCAGGAGGAACACCGGUGGCGAAGGCGGGAUCCUGGGCCAGUACUGACGCUGAGGAGCGAAAGCGUGGGGAGCAAACAGGAUUAGAUACCCUGGUA
rnacentral:rRNA from 1 species